CUGAGGAGCUGAGCACCUGACUGCGUAAAGUGCAACAGUAACCGUGCGGGAACGUAACUUUGCCAGCGGGGCGGCAGUCGGAUCUGAAGUUAACAGACAGCUGGUGUCCGUACAACUCGCAGCCUUAGGGGGCUUCAGUCGUUGACCUUUUGCUUGCCUGGGCUUAUUUUAGCCUUUUUCCAUGCGAAAGGUCGAAUGUGCUCUAGGUUCGAGCGCUGCUUUUUUCGGUUCGCUCUUGCGCAGUGUAGGCACACCUAGGGGUGUCGGGGUCCGGACGUAAUGAGGCACUGGCCAUUUAAGCGUCCCUUGCUGUGUAAUCUCACUCUUCGCUCAGGCAAAGUGGGGAGAGUAGCCUUAGUUUUAGAGGUGCGGGCUCUCACCUGAUCCGUUCAGGUUUCGUCAGUUAACCUUUCUGGGCUUCGUUUUGCCCUUACAUAACCAGCGGGUGGACUACGUGCCUUCGUCUAAGGGUCCAUUCAUGGUCUACGCUGUCUUAAGACGCACUCAACUCACUUCAAAUAAAAGUGUGACUUUGCAGAUCAAUCUUCGUACAGUUGAAAAACGCCUUUCUGGCAAGUUAGUGCCCAGUGCCUGAAAACUGUCAUUUCUUGUGUUCAGUAACAAGGCCCCUUAACUUAAUCAAGGACCUGUGAGAUGACCGUCUCGGUCGUGGCAUUGCGAGGAUAUAGAUGAAGAGACAUUUUAAUGUGAUCCCUCUAUAAUAGUGACUCAAGGAUAUGAUCUUAAAGCAACUUCAAGAAACGGGCCAUCCAGGCCUACGAUUUUACAGCGAAAUUGGACGGUGUAUGUACUUGAGAGAAUAAAAUCUGUCAGCUCCCAAAUGAUAAACCAGUAGUUGCUUUACUGGUCUUCGGACGUGACUGCUCUCAUCAGCAUCAGACACUUGAGAAGGAACUAGGCUUAAAACACGGUACUUGGCAAUCGGGUUGCCAGCAAAGCAGCGGAUGCGAGACUUGCCCUCCAGGAGCUUAGCAUCAGACGGGAGAAGAGAAAUAAAUGCAUAAUAUGUAGGCGACAUAAAUCCACACCAGUACGCAGUUAGGAGGAAAUGGCAAAGCCAAGAGUAAGAGGCCGUACGUAUUCAAUAUGAUGAGAAACUUAGACAAUACUAUAGGAGCCCAAAUGCUACAGAUGUCACUGGCUGCUGGGAGACUAGGGAAAACUUGUCCAUGGACGUGGGGGUUUGUGUCGGACUCUGAAUAAAGAGCAGAAUGCUUGCUGUCCUACUGGCGGGUUAUCUGCCCAUUGCCUGAAAAGUAUCAUUUCCUGCGUUCAAUAAAAAGGCCCGUUAUGAGA